UACGUAGGGGGCAAGCGUUGUCCGGAAUCAUUGGGCGUAAAGAGCGCGUAGGCGGGCGUCCGCGUCCGGGGUGAAAUUCUUCGGCCCAACCGGAGGACUGCCUCGGAUACGGGACGCCUCGAGGGAGGUAGGGGCGCGCGGAACUUCCGGUGGAGCGGUGAAAUGCGUAGAUAUCGGAAGGAACGCCGGUGGCGAAAGCGGCGCGCUGGACCUUUUCUGACGCUGAGGCGCGAAAGCUCGGGGAGCGAACGGG
rnacentral:rRNA from 1 species